GUCACACGAUAUUAUUAAAUCAUUAGCGGACUGAUAUCCGAGUUCUUCAGAAGUGAUAAAGGGCUGUUUGUUUAUUUGAGGAAGAUGCGUUUUAAAGUGUCCAAACAUGUAAUAAGUUAUUUGAAGACGGUUUGUGUGUUUUUAUUGACAUUCGGUGCAUUUAACGCAGCAGUUUAAGUUACGUUGAUGUAAAGUAGUGCCGAGUAGAAGUUUUGGCAACGGGCCAAAUUAACUGCGCAGAAUCGCUAGAAUAAGAAACUGGAGAGUUUUCAAUCACCUCAUCAUACUCAUGACCUGGUAGUCAAAAUCAUAGUGGAAAAAAGUUAUCAAAUGAGACCAUCGCUGAUGUAAAUAUGGAUUCAAAACUGGAUUUAUUUGGUAAUAAUAUGCUGACAAACCUGAAGAAAAACC